UGGAAACACCGAGCCCUCCAGCUCAUCCCUGCCCUCAAACCUCUCCAAACUGCCGCCAAGGUCACUGGCCAAAUCCACCGUCGCCGGCCCUUUUUUCUGCCACAACAGCAGGCCAUCAACUUCGCCGCUCAUCAGCGAUUAGUUUUUCCCUGAGGAGGCACAGGAAGGGGAAGAAUUCUAUGGUGCUGACGAGUUCUUGUUAUAAGUCGAUCUGCUCUCAGGCGUUGCCUGUGGUGUUUUUAUCCUAUUUUGUGUUCGGGUCUUUUGUUUGUAGGGAGUGUGUUUGGCCUGUCGGCCCCUAAAACCUGUCUUAGUUAUCUUUUAUGUAAUAAUUUCUGUAAAAAGUUGGGUAUAUGUAUUGAAAGCUGUUCUGUAUAUCAAUCUGUGCGCGAUCGAAAUCCUGGACGGGUGGUUUCGGGAUACCAUACUCAAACCGGGUAUCCCCACAAUCUUUCACUCAAAAUUUGGAUGGAGGGGCGGCAGACAAAGAAUAGGAUGGGAAACAGAGGCAGGCUAAACUGAUGGCGAAGAGUUUGAAGACGGCGAUGGAAACCUGUGUUUUGAUGCUUGAAAUGCCAAUAUUUUAGUCCUGUAAUAACUGUUUGUUUUCCUUUUUUUUCUCGUCUUAUCUGUAAGAACUAGAUGUUCUGGAACUCUUGUAAUCAUCUGCGUUUUAUUUAAUGAAAACGGGGGAGAUACCCUCCCUUUCUAAAAAAAA